rnacentral:rRNA from 1 species
GGGCGCAAGCCUGAUGCAGCCAUGCCGCGUGUGUGAAGAAGGCCUUCGGGUUGUAAAGCACUUUCAGCGGGGAGGAAGGCGAUAAGGUUAAUAACCUUGUCGAUUGACGUUACCCGCAGAAGAAGCACCGGCUAACUCCGUGCCAGCAGCCGCGGUAAUACGGAGNNWRNAARCGUUAAUCGGAAUUACUGGGCGUAAAGCGCACGCAGGCGGUCUGUCAAGUCGGAUGUGAAAUCCCCGGGCUCAACCUGGGAACUGCAUUCGAAACUGGCAGGCUAGAGUCUUGUAGAGGGGGGUAGAAUUCCAGGUGUAGCGGUGAAAUGCGUAGAGAUCUGGAGGAAUACC